GACGAACGCUGGCGGCGUGCUUAACACAUGCAAGUCGAACGGAAAGGCCCUGCUUUUGUGGGGUGCUCGAGUGGCGAACGGGUGAGUAACACGUGAGUAACCUGCCCUUGACUUUGGGAUAACUUCAGGAAACUGGGGCUAAUACCGGAUAGGAGCUCCUGCUGCAUGGUGGGGGUUGGAAAGUUUCGGCGGUUGGGGAUGGACUCGCGGCUUAUCAGCUUGUUGGUGGGGUAGUGGCUUACCAAGGCUUUGACGGGUAGCCGGCCUGAGAGGGUGACCGGCCACAUUGGGACGGGGAUACGGCCCAGACUCCUACGGGAGGCAGCAGUGGGGAAUAUUGCACAAUGGGCGGAAGCCUGAUGCAGCAACGCCGCGUGCGGGAUGACGGCCUUCGGGUUGUAAACCGCUUUCGCCUGUGACGAAGCGUAAGUGACGGUAAUGGGUAAAGAAGCACCGGCUAACUACGUG
rnacentral:rRNA from 1 species